rnacentral:lncRNA from 1 species
AGGGAUAGGUGACCUCCUCUUCACCAUCUAGAUGAACUCAAUGAGUGAGUACAUCACCCCAGCACCACUGUGGGCCAAUGGAUUAGAUAUCUCUUCCAAGCCCCCUAUCCAGACCACCAAGAUCAAAUCACUACUGUUCAUUUCUGAUUUGGCAUUUAAUCACAGUCACGGCAUCCACCGUGACUCAAAUCUGGGUUGCGUGGUUGGAAGACAACGGUCCGUUCCACUGGGCUACCACCAUGAUGGCUGUCUUUAACAUCUGCCUCUAAAAGCAUAGCUUGUGUUGACUCUAGAAUCUUAACAGGUUAAUAUGGAUGGACUGAAAAUACA